rnacentral:rRNA from 1 species
GACGAACGCUGGCGGCGUGCUUAACACAUGCAAGUCGAACGGUAAGGCCCUUCGGGGUACACGAGUGGCGAACGGGUGAGUAACACGUGGGUAAUCUGCCCUGCACAUCGGGAUAAGCCUGGGAAACUGGGUCUAAUACCGAAUAGGACCACAGGACACAUGUCCUGUGGUGGAAAGCUUUUGCGGUGUGGGAUGGGCCCGCGGCCUAUCAGCUUGUUGGUGGGGUGAUGGCCUACCAAGGCGACGACGGGUAGCCGGCCUGAGAGGGUGUCCGGCCACACUGGGACUGAGAUACGGCCCAGGCUCCUACGGGGGGCAGCAGUGGGGAAUAUUGCACAAUGGGCGAAAGCCUGAUGCAGCGACGCCGCGUGGGGGAUGACGGCCUUCGGGUUGUAAACCUCUUUCACCAUCGACGAAGGUCCGGGUUUUCUCGGGCUGACGGUAGGUGGAGAAGAAGCACCGGCCAACUACGUG